rnacentral:sRNA from 1 species
UUAAUAUAUUAUAAGUGCCGUAGACAGUAGGUGUUUUUACGUAAUGCUUUUUGCAACCUACCGAGGAAUUAGAAUCGUAGAUUUAUCCCUUGCUGUCUUUGCAAGGUUUUUUAUAUUUG